rnacentral:rRNA from 1 species
GAUGAACGCUGGCGGCGUGCCUAAUACAUGCAAGUCGAGCGAACAGACGAGGAGCUUGCUCCUCUGACGUUAGCGGCGGACGGGUGAGUAACACGUGGAUAACCUACCUAUAAGACUGGGAUAACUUCGGGAAACCGUAGCUAAUACCGGAUAAUAUAUUGAACCGCAUGGUUCAAUAGUGAAAGACGGUUUUGCUGUCACUUAUAGAUGGAUCCGCGCCGCAUUAGCUAGUUGGUAAGGUAACGGCUUACCAAGGCAACGAUGCGUAGCCGACCUGAGAGGGGGAUCGGCGACACUGGAACUGAGACACGGAACAGACGCCUACGGGAGGCAGCAGUAGGGAAUCUUCCGCAAUGGGCGAAAGCCUGACGGAGCAACGCCGCGUGAGUGAUGAAGGUCUUCGGAUCGUAAAACUCUGUUAUUAGGGAAGAACAAAUGUGUAAGUAACUAUGCACGUAUUGACGGUACCUAAUCAGAAAGCCACGGCUAACUACGUG